GAUGAAGAACGUAGCGAAAUGCGAUACUUGGUGUGAAUUGCAGAAUCCCGUGAACCAUCGAGUCUUUGAACGCAAGUUGCGCCCGAAGCCAUUAGGCCGAGGGCACGCCUGCCUGGGCGUCACACGUCGUUGCCCCCCCAUCUACUCCUUCGGGAUUGCGGGGGGCGGAUGAUGGCCUCCCGUGCGCCUCGUCGCGCGGUUGGCCUAAAUGCCAAGUCCUCGGCGACGCACGCCACGACAAUCGGUGGUUGCGAAACCUCGGUUGCCCGUCGUGUGCGGUCGUCGCGCAUCGAGGGCUCGAAAAAAUUGCCGGGCUUCGGCUCGGCUUUCAACGCGACCCCAGGUCAGGCGGGGUUACCCGCUGAAUUUAAGCAUAUCAAUAAGCGGAGGA
rnacentral:misc_RNA from 1 species